rnacentral:lncRNA from 1 species
AAAGAAGCAAAGUAACUACCAGAGUGCUCUGAUGGCAUCAUUCCCAGUCAUUUUUGUGACACAAUGAACAGUCAUUCAGAUAUAGGAGUAUUUCUUGGUAUCCCUACCUGUUAAUGCUGAAGAUGAAGACGGAUGAAGCACUUUCCAGGGGAUUUAAGGGAGUGUGAAACAAAGAAGACAGCUUGAAAAGCCUAUAAGGUGAACAUAAAGAUAUCAAGAGUGAGUCAACAGGAAUAGGGAUCAUCAAUAGACAGGUCAGUAAUCACCUGACCUGUUUUGGACAUCUGUGAUAUCUUCCAG